UACGUAGGCGGCCAUAUAAGUCAGAAGUGAAAGGCUACGGCUUAACCGUAGUAAGCUUUUGAAACUGUAUGGCUUGAGUGCAGGAGAGGAAAGCGGAAUUCCUAGUGUAGCGGUGAAAUGCGUAGAUAUUAGGAAGAACACCAGUAGCGAAGGCGGCUUUCUGGACUGAAACUGACGCUGAGAUACGAAAGCGUGGGGAGCGAACAGGAUUAGAUACCCUGGUAGUCC
rnacentral:rRNA from 1 species